rnacentral:rRNA from 1 species
AAUCUUCCACAAUGGGUGCAAACUUGAUGGAGCAAUGCCGCGUGAAUGAAGAAGGUCUUCGGAUCGUAAAGUUCUGUCAUUCGAGAAGAACAAGUCAAGGAGUAACUGUCUUGACUUUGACGGUACAUACCCAGAAAGUCACGGCUAACGAUGUGACAGCAGCAGCGGUAAUACGUAGGGGACAAGCGUUGGCCGGAAGUAUUGGGCGGAAAGGGAGCGCAGGCGGUUAGAAUAUACUGAUGUGAAAGCCCACGGCUUAACCGUGGAAGGUCAUUUGAAACUGUCCAACUUGAAUGCAGAAGAGGUAAGUGGAAUUCCAUGUGUAGCGGUGAAAUGCGUAGAUAUAUGGAGGAACACCAGUGGCGAAGGCGACUUACUGGUCUGUGAUUGACGCUGAGGCUCGAAAGCGUGGGUAGCGAACA